CAGUAGCCGCGGUAAUAUGAAGGGUGCAAGCGUUACUCGGAAUUACUGGGCGUAAAGCGUGCGUAGGUGGUGGUUUAAGUCCGUUGUGAAAGCCCUGGGCUCAACCUGGGAAUUGCGGUGGAUACUGGGUCACUAGAGUGUGGUAGAGGAUAGUGGAAUUUCCGGUGUAGCAGUGAAAUGCGUAGAGAUCGGAAGGAACAUCUGUGGCGAAGGCGACUAUCUGGGCCAACACUGACACUGAGGCACGAAAGCGUGGGGAGCAAACAGGAUUAGAUACCCGGGUAGUCCCUGUCUCUUAUAC
rnacentral:rRNA from 1 species